rnacentral:rRNA from 1 species
AGCUCCAAUAGCGUAAAUUAAAGCUGUUGCAGUUAAAAAGCUCGUAGUCGGAUUUCGGGCAGUGGCUUGUGGUUCGGUUCCGUGCCGAUACUGCUUGCCGCGGCCUCCACGCCGACCGUCUUUUGGUGCACUUAAUUGUGCGUCAUAAGUGGCCGGAGCGUCUACUUUGAAAAAAUUAGAGUGUUCAAAGCAGGCCUGCUCGAGCCUGAAUGAUGGUGCAUGGAAUAAUGAAAGAGGACCUCGGUUCUAGUUUGUUGGUCUACGGAACUAGAGGUAAUGAUUAAUAGGAACGGACGGGGGCAUUCGUAUUGCGGCGUUAGAGGUGAAAUUCUUGGAUCGUCGCAAGACGGACUACAGCGAAAGCAUUUGCCAAGAAUGUUU